GAAAAGAAAGCUUAGUGCACUGUUAGCUGAUCAUAGAUUUUUCCUUUGGCUUAAAGUAGUUCCUGAUCAUAGUCUCAAGUCUUAUUGAGUCAGAUUUAUAGCUUUAUGCAUUUCACUUCUUUUAAGCAUCAGUAAUUCUGAGUUAGAGGAUUGUAAGAGUUCAUGGAGAAUACUAGUCAUAGUCCAAAAUGAAUAAGUGAAAUGGAUGCCUAGAAGACAGCAUGAUUUUCUCUAUCAAAGAUACCCCAGAUGAACCAUUUGUGCCCCUGCUGCUGCUGCUGCUGCUGAGUUGCUUCAGUCGUGUCUGACUCUGUGCGACCCCAUAGACGGCAGCCCACCAGGCUCCCCCAUCCCUGGGAUUCUCCAGGCAAGAACAUUGGAGUGGGUUGCCAUUUCUGCACCAGAUAUCAGCUUCCUUGUCUUCUGAGUUACAAUUAAUCUCUUCCCUCUUCGCAGCCUCAGAUUUCUUUCUCUAUUGGACGAUUAUUAUUAGCAUACAAACAUGCUGCUAGUCCUUCUACCUGAAAAGAACCCUUGCUUGGUUAGACUUUUAUCUCCAGCUAAUACCCUGUUUAUUUUCUUUAUUAACAGCAAAGCUCCUCAACAGAAUUUCCUAAUCUUUCCUCACUCAGUGAUAACUCUUACUCUAUGUAUGUAUUCUUGUGAACCCAUUUAAAUCCAAUACUCAACAUGCAGAACUGCUGAACACAAUGGAACUUUAAAAGGCAUAUCUGUGGGCAUUAAAUCUCAUUGUAAAUUUUAUAAAAAAUGUUAACAAAUUGCUUUGUUUAUAAUUGAGGGUUACUUUCAAAAUUCCGGAAAUUGCUUGACUGCUCAACUUGGUUAGUUUCUAAUGGCUGUUAAGCCAAUCAGUAGACAGUACAUAGAGAUAUCUAGAGACUGAUUUCAUUUUCCUACAGUAGGAUAUACAUAUGUCUGUCAUGUUAAGUCAGGUAAAGAAUGCAUGGAGACUAAAUGGGAAACUAUUUAAUGAAGUUUUUGUUUCCAUUGAAAAUUAAGUUAAGAGAUUCUGCCAAUGUUUUAAUUAAAAAUGAAAAUGGUGAGUGUACCUAAACUGUUACAGAUUACUCACUUGAGUCUCCUAUGUUCAUCUGGUAACAAAUCUAAACUAUUCUCUGUCAUGAGAAAGGAUGAACAACAUCUGAAAAGUUGCAUUCAUUCAAUGAGUAUAUAUUGAUUACUUAUUAGGUGCUGACUGUACAGAGAUGGCAUGAUAUGAUCCCAAAUAUAUAUUGUUUAUGUUGAUUCAGCUUGCAAUGUGUCAUGUUAUUUGAGGGUUAAACUCUAAAACUUUGUGAAGUUACAGAACUAAUCAAAUGUAAAAAUAAAGUAGUAUGUUUAGCCAGGGCUUUGUAAUAAAGAGACUAGAUUAGAAGAGUUGUUUCAGUAGA